rnacentral:rRNA from 1 species
GACGAACGCUGGCGGCGUGCCUAACACAUGCAAGUCGAACGGAAAGGCCCUGCUUUUGUGGGGUGCUCGAGUGGCGAACGGGUGAGUAACACGCGAGUAACCUGCCCCUGACUUUGGGAUAACUUCAGGAAAAUGGGGCUAAUAUCGGGUAGGAGAUCCUGCUGCACGGUGGGGGUUGGAAAGUUUCGGCGGUUGGAGAUGGAAUAGCGGGUUAUCGGCUUGUUGGUGGGGUAGUGGCGUACCAAGGUUUUGACGGGUAGCCCGCCUGAGAGGGUGACCGGCCACAUUGGGCCUGAGAUACGGCCCAGACUCCUACGGGAGGCAGCAGGGGGGAAUAUUACACAGUGGGCCGGAGCGUGAUGCAACAGCGCCGCGUGCGGAAUGACCUCCUUCGGGUUAUAAACCGCUUUCGCCUGAGACGUGGCGUGAUUGACGGUAAUGGGUAAAGAAGCACCGGCUAACUACGUG